rnacentral:lncRNA from 1 species
GCUGAACCAGGAAAAGUGGCCACUGAGAGUCUCCACCCUAGACACAGCUGUGGGCUGAGCUGGGUUCCGGGCCUCCCACGGAGCACCACACUGGGGACAAGCAGGGGUCUGAACAGAGCAGAAGAAGAUUCCUGGCGGUAGAACUUUUCGCAGGGAGCUGAAAUGAAGCUGUUGCUGGAGUAGCAACAAAACCCCCAGCUCACAUGGAACAGGCCUCCAUCUCACUCGAGAGGAUCCCCUCUGCGGAGCAGCCAGGGGCCAGGCCUGGGCUGGACCUUCACAUCCUCACCACAGCCUUUCGAGGUGGGAAUCAGCAACGUGAGACAACGGAGGCUCCAAGUUUGCGCUUCACAACACCCUGGGAAGUAUCACAACCCUUUCACAGAUAACUGAGAUGAGAUCCUUAACCCUUUUCAUGGGUCUUGGCUACAAUCACCUGCGGCUGUUGUCUUCAUUUACUUCCUGGACCUGGGGCUUUGGGAUUUGGAAUCCUCCUCUAGAUAGUCUUUCUUGGUACAUUUCACUUUGUUCUGAUUAUCUACUGCUGCAUAAUAAACCACUGCAAACUUGGCAAC